UACAUGGGGUGCAAACGUUGCUCGGAAUCAUUGGGCGUAAAGCGCACGUAGGCGGUUCGUUAUGUCGGAUGUGAAAGCCCUCGGCUUAACCGGGGAAGUGCAUCCGAAACUGGCGAGCUUGAGUACUAAAGAGGGUCGCGGAAUUCCCGGUGUAGAGGUGAAAUUCGUAGAUAUCGGGAGGAACACCGGCGGCGAAGGCGGCGACCUGGGUAGAUACUGACGCUGAGGUGCGAAAGCGUGGGGAGCAAACAGG
rnacentral:rRNA from 1 species